GAAACGGAACGCAGACCAGGUUCCUGUCAGUACGACAGGCCAAGCGGGAAUCCCGUCAAAGUCGGGAGCGGAGCCGCCGCCGUAGCCCCCGUAACAGCACCUUCCGCGCAUGACGCGAAACGCCACUGGGCAACCGGGAAGGCGGGAAGAUGUGGGGGAAGCCGGAAUACCGGCCUGGCUGUCUGGUGAAGGC
rnacentral:ncRNA from 1 species